UUCUACAGCCAUGCCACCCUGAACAAGCCCAAUCCCCUCUGAUCUCGGAAGCUAACCAGAGUCGGACCACCUAGGAAAACCAGGUGCUGUAGGCA
rnacentral:rRNA from 1 species